GUUAAAAUAAUUUAUAAUAAAAUAUUGGUUUUGUAAAUCAAAUUAGGAUAUUCCUUUUAACA
rnacentral:tRNA from 1 species